CAGCAGAUAACCCGUCUGUCCCCAGCAAGCAGAAGAGCCGCGGUUCACACAGCCAGCAGCCUCCCACAAUAUGGCAGAAAAAAUAAAGGCCGUUGAAGAAUAUGACCAAUUAAGAAAGGAUAUGCAAGAUGGCAUUUUAACGGAGAAAGGGUUUCACGCUAAAGUAAAAAGUUUGUUGACUGAGUUGCCAAGUACAUCAGCAAUGUCAAAAUGCAAAGACGCUGCCGAAAUUUUUUCUGAAAUGAAAAGGGGUCAGCAACACACUAAAGUUUGUAAAAAAAAACAAUUUCCACUUACGAAAGCCAAAGAAACAUUUUUGAAGGUUAGUUCAAUAAUCCUGAGACAAAUUUUACUUAUAACUUUAGUUAAACAUUAUAAAAUCUCCUGAUAGUACAAAAUUUUGUACUAUCAUAUAGAACCUGUAACAUGUAAAUAUUUUUGGACAUAUGAUGUUUUAUAAAAUCUAAGGAUAGGGAAAAGUUGACCAG